AUUCCUCACAAUUCUCAUUUGAGCGGCAACACGUCCAUUCACUUCCUCUGCUUCUCUACCGCCUCUGUAUUUAGGUUGUAACGCUCAUAAAGACUUUUCAAGUUUCCAUAAUUUUUUGAAAUCACCAAAUCCCUUUCUCUCUCUAAAUUUUUUGGUAAUCUCUUCUUUUCUCUGUGAUUUUUUUUUUCCGAUCCAUCACCAAAUCCCUUUCUCUCUCUAAAUUUUUUUUCCGAUCUCAUCUGUUUCUAUCUAUUAUUGUUGGUGGUAGUGAUGGUGGUUUAUGGUCUCUGGUCCUCGGUGUUAGCAACGACGGCUAGGGUUUUUAAGCGAGAUAUGAACGACGUUUGUUCCAGUUAGGGUUCCGACGAUCGACAACUUGUGGGUUGCUGAGAUGACAGAGAUGGUGGUUGGAGCUAUAUCAGCUAGGGUUUCCGGCAAAGAAGGAAACGCAGCGGUUACUCAGCGAACCAGCUCAGGGGAUAAGCGUGUCGCCUUCCGAAGAUAAUAUGCAUUAUUUUAAUGUUAUGAUCCUUGGUCCAACGCAGUCUCCUUAUGAAGCCGCUUAUUUUAACAAGAAUUCUUGAAAGACAACAAUCUACUGGAUCUUUCGACAAUCAUAACUCCAAAAUCAGAGCACAGGCAAG